CAGCCGUCUGGUGAUUUUGCAUCACACGGAAUAAAACCUGGUGUCCUUUCCAGUCUCCCGGGAUUACAGGAGCUGUUCCCGACUUUGCCUCCCGUAGCUGUUCCGCACAUGGCGGGAAUGUUGUUCCUCAGCCCGGGCGAGCCUUACUUAACCUUUCCUUUCCUCACAUCCGACUCACGUGCGACCUCAUCAGAGAGUCCCUCCUCAGUAAUUCUGUGUGAAAUAGCGCCCCCAUCCAGCUGCCCCUUGUCCUGUUUUAUUUUACUUCAUAGAAGUUACUACCACCUUACUCUGUGUCUCCAUGUUGAUUUGUGUUCCCGUGCUGCUCUGCAUCCAUGUGAUAUGUGUUCCCGUGCUGCCCUGGGUCCCUGUGACGUGCUUUCCCUUGCUGCUGUGCGUCCCUGUGACGUGCGUUCCCUUGCUGCUGUGCGUCCAUGUGACAUGUUUCCGUGCUGCCGUGCGUCCCUGUGACGUGUGUUCCCGUGCUGCUGUGCGUCCCUGUGACGUGGGAACCCUUGCUGUUGUGCGUCCCUGUGACGUGUUCUCGUGCGGCUGUGUGUCCAUGUGACGUGUUGCCGUGCUGCUGUGCGUCCCUGCGACGUGCGAUCCCGUGCCGCUGUGCGUCCCUGUGACGUGCGUUCCCGUGCCGCUGUGCGUCCCUGUGACGUGCGUUCCCGUGCUGCUGUGCGUCCCUGUGACGUGCAUUCCCUAGUAAUGUAUAUGUGCUCAUGACGUGCCUGUGUUAGGCCAUUCUUGCAUUGCUAUAAAAAAUACUUGAGACAGGGUAAUUUAUAAAGAAAAGAGGUUUAAUUGGCUGAUUCUGCAGGCUGUACAGGAAGCGUGGCACCAGCAUCUGCUUGGCUUCUGGGGAGGCUUCAGGGAGCUUGGAGCUUUCACUCACAGCAGAAGGCGAAGCGGGAGAAGGCGUCAUGUGAUGGAAACAGGAGUAAGGCGGGGGCGGGGGGUGCCCCACAUCCAAGCAGCCAGAUCUCUUGAGAGCUCACCCACUAUUGUGAGGUCAGCAUCAGGCUAUGAGGAAUCCUCCCCCAUGAGCCAGACACCCCCACCAGGCCCGGCCUCCAACACAGGGGAUUCCAGUUCAGCAUGAGAUUUGGGCUGGGACAAAUUUCCAAAUUAUCAGUUCCAGUACUAGUACUUGUGUAUAUAUGACAUACCUCUCCAUACUAACGGGUGUGUGUGUGUGUGGUCUCUCUCUUUUGCUAGAACAGAAGUUCUCUGAGGGCAGGGGCUUUACCAGGGGUCCUCACUCCAGAGUUCCUACCUGCUAGAUUGAGCGUAGUUUUGCAUGUGUGCAUGUCAGAAGCCGUCUGUCCUCUUCUGCAUUGUGUAAGCAGCACCUGGGCUGGGGGUGGGGACUGGCACUCUGUCACCCCCUGAUAAAUAUUUGUUGGAUGAAUAUACAGAUUUUCUUACAGAGCUGGCUGUAAUGUGUUUGUUUUAGCCUUGGCCUUUGACAGGGGGCUUGAUGUUACAAAGGAAAAUAGACUCUUAUGACUAUAGCAAUAGAAUUCCAAGUAUAUUUUAAAUAGGCUCUUGAGAAUGAAAAUGCCUUUUUGUAAUGUGAUAAAUUACUGACUUUCAUUUGUAUUUGGUUAGUUUUAUAUUGCAUUUCUACUAGUAACUGAUGAAAGCUUAAAUGUUGAAAAUCAUUUUAUUUGCCAUUCUGUUGAUGCGUGGAAAUAAAUGGUAGUUCGGUUGA
rnacentral:lncRNA from 10 species